CGGGGCGUAGCGCAGCUUGGUAGCGCACUUGCAUGGGGUGCAAGGGGUCGAAGGUUCAAAUCCUUUCGCCCCGACCA
rnacentral:tRNA from 6 species